UAUCGGAAAGCAGGGUGAAGCAAGACAGCGGCAAAUAACCAAAACAAGAUCGUUCACUUGGAAGAGCUGGAGGGCUUUGCUGAGGAUCUGUCACCUCUAUCAAGGGAGAACUAUUGCCUGCUCUGAAUGAAUCGUUAUUACAGGACAUAACGCAGCAUUAGCCAGAAGAGGCACUGGUUUUUAUCCAUUCUGAACUGGAAGCUUCAAGUUGUUUUUUUCUCUCCAAUCAAGCUACCAGAGAAAAUCUAGACACAGUUGGAGUUUGUAGGACAAAAAUUUAUACAUCUGAAAACAGCAACUCUUGAGAACACCAUCUCAGAUACUUAAAAGGACUCAUCUGCAGCACCUGACUUUGACAUGACAUUUUCAACUUCUGCACUAAUUCCCAUGUGACUGGAGAAGGAAUAGAUGCAAGCAAUUGGGGGACGGACGGACAGACAGCCCACUGAACACCAACCUGCUGUGCGGUUUGAAAAGAAGUCACCAGAAAACAUGAAGGCCCCUGUAUGCUAACUGGAAGAGAAAGGCUGUGCUUUCCCCUGCAUAACCAACAAGCUGGAAACAGAAAAUUAAAAUGAAACAAGUCAUGGUUUAGAUCUCUUGGAGCUGCACAGAUUUACAAAGCACACAAUCUUCCUAUCCCAACAUUAGGGACGUCGGAGAAUUCUGCUGGAAAUGGGAAAGGAAACUGCCACCAUCUUCAUGUUCUUCUGAGGUCAGUGGAAACCGUGUGAGGAUGCUUAUUGGGCUUGAUGUUUCCGGCUCAGAGAUGAUCAAAAAGGCCAGACUGGAAGCCCUGGCACAGCCUGUAGGGUCUUCCCUGCUGGGCUUGCCACAAGUCACAGUGGAUCUCCAGAAGGCAAAGGAAAUUGGAUUGAGGCCCAUCCAAACAGAAGACAAGAGAGGAUUCAUCUUGCAAUGUUAAACUGAAGAUUAGAAAGAGACCAUUGAAGAUCAAGAGGACAGGGACCCACAGUACAGGUUGUCAGAGCAAAAACAUGAAGGUUAGCAUUCUAAUUGGUGGCCUAACCAACACACAUCCUGGGAAUUGUGAAGGAGGGCCUGACAGAGGCAAAGAUUCACAAGACCAUCAAGGCUAGAUGGAUGCUUCUGAGCAGCUCACAACCAGGCCAUAAAAACAAUAGUCCUUCGCUGUUGUUUAUCCCUUAGUAAUUAGAAUUCAGAGGAAUACAGUGGUACCUCAGGUUACAUACGCUUCAGGUUACAUACACUUCAGGUUACAGACUCCGCUAACCCAGAAAU